AUGCAGUGGGUUACAAUUACAGUAAUAUGAUUCCGGAACGUGGAAAUCACGUGCUCCAGGGGGAGUCACUUUUAUCAUUAUUCAUACAAAUUGAUAAGAAUCCUCAUCGUAUACUAUGCCCGCUUUCUGAUGCAUUUCAACAUUAUCUUCAAUCUUUUAUUAUUUUUGCUCAACCUUCGUUGCUUACUUAUUUACAUCUGCAGACUGAUAUCAUAUCAUAAGCUCCUUCGUUCAUUCGUUUUUUUUUUUUUCUCUUUCAAAUUCGACUCCAAAUCGCCGGCUCUCUGAAAAAUGAAAGAAAGACGUACUUCUCUCCAACAGUUUCCUGGCGUAUCUACCUAUUGCUGAAUCAUCGUGACUAGCCAUAACGAAUGCCUAUAAGCAUACCGAUCACAAGAGAUAGUCGGAAUCCCAGUCGCGUUGUAGGAGUUGCCGAGACUCCAUGUAUCGUGCGGCAAAAGUUGGAGUAUACCAAGAUAGAUAAGUUCUCGUGCGAACUUUUAAUUAGACAAGCUUCCCGGCAGUCGUCCAAGAAAACACGAUGGCCUACCACUCAAUUGGGCCGGUCGAAGUGCUCGGGGCAAUUGUUCUUUUGUGCAUUGGGAUUUGGUAUUACCUUAGCUCAACGUACGGCUAUUGGAAACGACAAGGGAUCCCGGGGCCAGAGCCCAAGUUGCUCUUUGGAAAUUUCAAGGACAUCGUGCUCGGGAAGGCGUUCAUCGGAGACGGAUUGCAGCAGAUUUGUAAAGAGUAUCCCGGUGCGCCUAUGAUCGGUGUUUACGAAAUGCGAAGACCUCUUCUGAUAUUGUGCGAUCUUGAUCUCCUCCAGGAUGUAUUGAUAAAAGAUUUUUCUAACUUUUCCGAGAGAGGUGAUGCGAUACACGAAAAAAAGGAACCGCUAACCGCCCACCUGGUCACAUUGGAAACUAAAAGAUGGCGAUUUUUCCGCCCGAGGUUGUCGCCAAUUUUCACUGCCGGGAAAAUGAGGAAAAUGUUCUCUUUGAUUCAAGAGUGUGCCGAUCACUUCGAGAAGUAUUUGCACGUAUUGGUGGACAGGGGUGAGCCGAUAGACUGUCGGGAAUUAAGCGCGAAAUUUACCACAGACGUAAUCGGUAGCUGUGCGUUCGGACUCAAUUUCAAUGCGAUCGCAGACGACGACAGUGAGUUCAGAAAAAUAGGGAGAAAAUUGUUCACGAUCGAUCGCAAGCGAAAAUUCCUGUUAUCGAUCAGAUCGGCAGCACCGUGGCUUUACAAAUUGUUGGGAAUAUCCGCAUCCAUCCCUGGAGUGACCGAAUUUUUUAUUCGAACCGUCACCGAAAUGCUCGAAUAUCGAACCAAAAACAACGUACAAAGAGGGGAUCUCAUCGACACGUUGAAUGAAAUUAAACAAGAACAAAGCAAAAUUGAUUUUGAGCUCACCGAUGGCCUCAUCACCGCUCAAGCCUUCGUGUUUUUCGUCGCUGGUUUUGAAACUUCUUCGAGUACGAUCAGCGCCGCAUUGUACGAGUUAGCCCAGCGCCAGGAUGUUCAGGAUAAAGUACGGCAGGAGAUACUGGAUUCGUUGGACGAAAAUAAUGGAGAGGUCACCUACGAAAGCGUCAAGGAAAUGAAGUACUUGCACAUGGUGUUCCAAGAAACACUGCGACUCAGAUGCCCAGUUUCCGCUACGGCGAGAGCGGCGAUGAACGAUUACACUUUCAGAGGCACGAAUUUCACGAUUCGGAAAGGCCAGAAGGUCCUAAUACCGAUUUCUCUAGUCCAUAUGGACCCGGAGAAUUAUCCAAAUCCGGAUAUCUUUGAUCCCGAGAGGUUCACGGAGGAAAAUAUCAAGUCCAGGCAUCCGAUGUCGUGGCUGGCUUUUGGCGAUGGUCCCAGAAAUUGCAUCGGCGCACGGUUCGCCGUCUACCAAACGAAGCUUGGCCUGAUAAAAAUAUUGUCCAACUUCAAAGUCGAGACGUGUGAAAAGACUCGGAUUCCAUUCGUAGCCAACCCCACCAAGACGCUCCUCGAACCUCUUGGUGGGAUUUUUCUAAAAUUCACCAAACUCGAUAAAAUGUAGUGGAAAAAUAUUCCGUCGAUAGCAUCAGUCGCGAAUAGCAGAUAAACCUUAUCGUUGCACGGCCGCGACCCUAAAAAAAAUUCUUUGCAAAAAAUUCUCAUAUCAAUUAUCAUGGCGCGCAUAUCUUGAUGCAGCAUAUGUUUGCACCCCUUAUCAUAACAUUCGAGAUUAUAUCUGGAGCGACACGAGUCGCUUAAAAACGCGCGCUAAAAAUAAAAAUUUCGCGUUAGAAGCUUUACGUGACAACUCGAAAAACCGACCGUUUGGUUCGCCGCAAACUUUUCGACGUCCGAGAUCUGGAAAAUUUUGAACUAAUUGUAAGACUGCAGCCCAUUACGAUGAUCUUGCGGAUACUAUUAGGAAUCGUGACACAGCUGAGCUACAGUGCUAUGAUGUUUAGAGAUGGCUGGUAGCAAUUGGCUUUAUUAUUAGCGUUGUAAUUAUGACUGACCAUGACGUGAAAAUAUACGUCCAUGUAAUGAACUUCGUUUCCACUUUAAUACACACACCUACUUCGACCGCGCAUAUUCCACUCAGGAUAGGUAUAAGUUUCGAAUUUCCUUUAUCUUGGGUAACACCAAGCUAACAAGAACAAAGAGUAAUCUGAAUCGUCCGCGUUAGCGUCGACGGUCGACCGAAAGUCAUCUAAUUGUGAGAUUGAUCGAAUGCAAGUGAGGAACAAAGUAAUUUGCCACAGCUGAAGUUAUCCGUUCCUCGAUAACGUUUUGAAAGACGCCAGCCCCUUGCGUAAUCGUUACUCGGUAUUAUGGAAGUCUUAUGAGAGUGGUCGCUGAUCGGUGGAUUCUUUCAAUCUGGUGUAAGUCGAUUGUUACAGCUAGUUCGUGAAACGCGAGUUCACCGGGAAGCUCGAGCACUCGGUCUUGAAUUACAUAUUAACGCAAUCCCCGAGGACCGUUGAACUCGCAAAGAUGGUGGGGUUCUCGUUCGGACUGCUCGAGGUCCUUGGCACCAUCGUGUUAAUUGUCAUUGGAAUACGGUACUACCUUGGAUCGAAUUACGAGCACUAGAAAAAUUGGGAAUUUGGGAGCCAGGGCCGAAGUUGUUGUACGGAAACUUCAAGGAUAUAUAGUAUCCAGUAAAAUCUCUAUGGCGGAGACCGUGAAAAAAAUUCGUGAUCAGUUCUCCGGAGUAUCAAGGACAUCCCGAUAAAGGAUUUUCAUAACUUUACCGAGCGAGGGGAUCCGUUGUUCGAACCACUGAGCGCCCAUUUAUUCAGUUUGGAAACUAAAAGGUGCGAGGUUCACCGGCCCCCAAACGAGAUUUGAUUUGAUCAAAAUACUUUCAACUUCAAAGUUGAACCUAUAGCUCGACGCUGGAAUUCUGCUGCUGUCAUGUGCCUUUGAUUUCGAAAUUAAUGAACUUCGAAUCGCGUAGUGGUACGUAUAUGCUGCGAACAAUCUGCGAUCGUUCGGUAACAGACGCAUCGGAGAUCUGGAGCUUGCAGGAUAUUUAAGUUUUAUUUUUGGAUUCCUGCCAGCGCCCGAAUUCGCAACGGCGUCGUACCAUUCUUGAAAUAAUAUACAUGAAACAGAUUUCGAACAG
rnacentral:misc_RNA from 1 species